CCUACGGGAGGCAGCAGUGAGGAAUAUUGGUCAAUGGACGAGAGUCUGAACCAGCCAAGUAGCGUGAAGGAUGACUUCCCUAUGGGUUGUAAACUUCUUUUAUAUGGGAAUAAAAUGUUCCACGUGUGGGAUUUUGUAUGUACCAUAUGAAUAAGGAUCGGCUAACUCCGUGCCAGCAGCCGCGGUAAUACGGAGGGUCCGAGCGUUAUCCGGAUUUAUUGGGUUUAAAGGGAGCGUAGGUGGAUUGUUAAGUCAGUUGUGAAAGUUUGCGGCUCAACCGUAAAAUUGCAGUUGAAACUGGCAGUCUUGAGUACAGUAGAGGUGGGCGGAAUUCGUGGUGUAGCGGUGAAAUGCUUAGAUAUCACGAAGAACUCCGAUUGCGAAGGCAGCUCACUGGACUGCAACUGACACUGAAGCACGAAAGCGUGGGGAUCAAACAGGAUUAGAUACCCUUGUAGUC
rnacentral:rRNA from 1 species